AGCGGCGGACGGGUGAGUAAUGCCUAGGAAUCUGCCUGGUAGUGGGGGACAACGUUUCGAAAGGAACGCUAAUACCGCAUACGUCCUACGGGAGAAAGUGGGGGAUCUUCGGACCUCACGCUAUCAGAUGAGCCUAGGUCGGAUUAGCUAGUUGGUGAGGUAAAGGCUCACCAAGGCGACGAUCCGUAACUGGUCUGAGAGGAUGAUCAGUCACACUGGAACUGAGACACGGUCCAGACUCCUACGGGAGGCAGCAGUGGGGAAUAUUGGACAAUGGGCGAAAGCCUGAUCCAGCCAUGCCGCGUGUGUGAAGAAGGUCUUCGGAUUGUAAAGCACUUUAAGUUGGGAGGAAGGGCAGUAAGUUAAUACCUUGCUGUUUUGACGUUACCGACAGAAUAAGCACCGGCUAACUUCGUGCCAGCAGCCGCGGUAAUACGAAGGGUGCAAGCGUUAAUCGGAAUUACUGGGCGUAAAGCGCGCGUAGGUGGUUCGUUAAGUUGGAUGUGAAAGCCCCGGGCUCAACCUGGGAACUGCAUCCAAAACUGGCGAGCUAGAGUAUGGCAGAGGGUGGUGGAAUUUCCUGUGUAGCGGUGAAAUGCGUAGA
rnacentral:rRNA from 1 species